CCGGGAAUGAUCAUAUAAAAUAGGUUGAGGGAAGGAGAGGCUUUCGUCGCGAAAUGUUGAUGUGGAUGGCGAAAAAUUUUCGGUCGCCCGAGAUUUCAAACUUGCCAAUGAGUCACGCGAGGCCGCCGCUCCAGGACAGAGGCGAGGAGAGAAACGUAGGGCAGUGUGGUAGGCCCCACCGGUCCUCCAAAACGUGCAAUUGGAUUUACAGUAUCUAGUCCCA
rnacentral:lncRNA from 1 species